rnacentral:rRNA from 1 species
UACAGAGGUCUCAAGCGUUGUUCGGGAUUCAUUGGGCGUAAAGGGCGCGUAGGCGGCCUGCUAAGUCGGACGUGAAAUCCCCCGGCUCAACCGGGGAACUGCGUCCGAUACUGGUGGGCUCGAAUCCGGGAGAGGGAUGUGGAAUUCCAGGUGUAGCGGUGAAAUGCGUAGAUAUCGGGAGGAACACCAGUGGCGAAGGCGACUUCCUGGCCUGUUCUUGACGCUGAGGCGCGAAAGCUAGGGGAGCAAACGGG